GAUGAACGCUGGCGGCGUGCCUAAUACAUGCAAGUCGAGCGAACAGACGAGGAGCUUGCUCCUCUGACGUUAGCGGCGGACGGGUGAGUAACACGUGGAUAACCUACCUAUAAGACUGGUAUAACUUCGGGAAACCGUAGCUAAUACCGUAUAAUAUAUUGAACCGCAUGGUUCAAUAGUUAUAUUCGGUUUUGCUGUCUCUUAUAGAUUGAUCCGCGCCGCAUUAGCUAGUUGGUAAGGUAACGGCUUACCAAGGCAACGAUGCGUAGCCGACCUGAGAGGGUGAUCGGCGACACUGGAACGGAGACACGGUCCAGACUCCUACGGGAGGCAGCAGUAGGGAAUCUUCCGCAAUGGGCGAAAGCAUGACGGAGCAACGCCGCGUGAGAGAUGAAGGUCUUCGGAUCGUAAAACUCUGUUAUUAGGGAAGAACAAAUGUGUAAGUAAAUAUGCACGUAUUGACGGUACCUAAUCAGAAAGCCACGGCUAACUACGUG
rnacentral:rRNA from 1 species